rnacentral:misc_RNA from 1 species
AAGAGUUGAAAAACUCCCUAAACCCUUGUGGACCUACCUGUUUCGUUGCUUUCGGCGGGCAGCCCCCCCUCGCGGGAGGCUCCUCGGCCCUACAAGGUGCCCGCCGGAAGGACUCUUAAAACUCGUUUUUUCAGUGGCAUCAGAGUUACAAAACAAAAUGACAA